rnacentral:rRNA from 1 species
GACGAACGCUGGCGGCGUGCCUAAUACAUGCAAGUCGAGCGAUGAAGCUUGGUGCUUGCACCAAUUUGAAGAGCAGCGAACGGGUGAGUAACGCGUGGGGCAUCUGCCUUUGUGCGGGGGACAACAUCUGGAAACGAAUGCUAAUACCGCAUAACACCUUUAAACAUAAGUUUUAAGUGUGAAUGAUGCAUUUGCCUCACUCAAAGAUGAACCCGCGUUGUAUUAGGUAGUUGGUGAGGUAAAGGCUCACCAAGGCGAUGGUACAUAGCCGAGCUGAGAGGGUGAACGGCCACAAUGGGACUGGGACACGGCCCAAGCCCCUACGGGAGGGAGCAGGAGGGGAUCUUCGGAAAAGGGCGGAAGGCUGAACGAGGAACGCCGCGGGAGUGGAGGAGGGUCUCGGAUCGGAAAACUCUGUUGGUAGAGAAGAACGUGGAGGAGAGUGGAAAGCUCAUCAAGUGACGGUAACUACACAGAAAGGGACGGCUAACUACGUG